rnacentral:snRNA from 1 species
AGAUGUGAGGGCGAUCUGGCUGUGACAUCUGUCACCCCAUUGAUCACCAAGGUUGAUUCGGCUGAUCUGGCUGGCUAGGCGGGUGUCCCCUUCCUCCCUCAACGAUCCAAGUUCAUCCCUCCCGAAGCUGCGCACUUGGUCGAAGAGGACAUCCACCCCCGAUAGAGGAGGACUGUUCCUCGGUCAAGGGUAUACGAGUAGCUGCGCUCCCCUGCUAGAACCUCCAAACAAGCUCUCAAGGAAUGAAUCUGGGAAUAUUGGUUCCCUUUCAGUUUCCUUAAAGAGUUAAGAAUUCAGCUGUGAAUCUCUU